rnacentral:rRNA from 1 species
GACGGCGGAAGCAAGCGUUAUCCGGAAUUAUUGGGCGUAAAGGGUACGUAGGCGGCUGGUCAAGUCUGGGGUCAAAGGCCACAGCUCAACUGUGGGAAGGCCCUGGAAACUGACCGGCUAGAGUGAGGUAGGGGUUGCGGGAAUUCCCGGUGUAGCGGUGAAAUGCGUAGAGAUCGGGAAGAACACCUGAGGCGGAAGCGCGCAACUGGGCCUCAACUGACGCUGAGGUACGAAAGCUAGGGGAGCGAAUGAG